UACGUAGGGUGCAAGCGUUAAUCGGAAUUACUGGGCGUAAAGCGUGCGCAGGCGGUUUUGUAAGUCUGUCGUGAAAGCCCCGGGCUUAACCUGGGAAUUGCGAUGGAGACUGCAAGGCUUGAAUCUGGCAGAGGGGGGUAGAAUUCCACGUGUAGCAGUGAAAUGCGUAGAGAUGUGGAGGAAUACCGAUGGCGAAGGCAGCCCCCUGGGUCGAUACUGACGCUCAUGCACGAAAGCGUGGGGAGCAAACAGG
rnacentral:rRNA from 1 species